rnacentral:tRNA from 3 species
GGGUGAUUAGCUCAGUUGGUAGAGCGUCUCGUUUACACCGAGUAGGUCGGGGGUUCGAGUCCCUCAUCACCCACCA